rnacentral:rRNA from 1 species
GACGAACGCUGACGGUGUGCUUUAGACAUGCAAGUCGAACGAGAAAGCCCUUCGGGGUUAGUAAAGUGGCGAACGGGUGAGUAACACGUGGGCAAUCUGCCCCUCGCAGGGGGACAACCGGAGGAAACCCCGGCUAAUACCCCGUAAGUUCAAAGGGAGGCAUCUCCCCUUGAAGAAAGGUAGCUUCGGCCAUCCGGCGAGGGAUGAGCCCGCGGUGCAUUAGCUAGUUGGUGGGGUAACGGCCCACCAAGGCGACGAUGCAUAGCUGGUCUGAGAGGAUGAUCAGCCACACUGGGACUGAGACACGGCCCAGACUCCUACGGGAGGCAGCAGUCGGGAAUCUUGCGCAAUGGGCGAAAGCCUGACGCAGCAACACCG